rnacentral:lncRNA from 1 species
UCAUUUUGGGGAAUGGGAUGGGAAAGCUGUUGAACAUAAAAACAACUCUAUAUUCCCCAAAAUUGAGAAGUUUAAGAAAAUAGGGAAACCGUUGAAGAUGCUCUUACACUUGUUGUGGAAAAUUUGUUAUAAAGAAUAUGGAGGACCUUGUAUCGGAAUGGGCACAACAGGUAAUACAAUGUCACACCCCAAUUUUCGAAGGAUAAAAUUUCAAAAAUUUGGGCAUGAUAAAACUCAAAAUCUUAAUAUCCCACAACCUGCUCGACAAAUUCCAAACUAAAAACAAAUACUGGAAAUGUAAAUGUAAAUUAACUCCUCAACCGAGUUAAACAUUAAAUCUCCUUAAUUACAUCAACAUCCAAAAGUCUAGAAAUAAACUACUUCGCUCACAUGAGCUUAAAAACAACAACCAUAAAAUACAAAUAAUGUACAUCGCCUAAAACCUAGCUCCUAAGCCACUGCCUCAACCCUGCUGACCAACACUUGCAGGUCUAACCCCUACACCAUGAAUUGGUGCACCGGGUUGUAAACAACAAACCCGGUAAGCUUAAAAAGCUCGUAUGAGUAACUCUACAAAAUAAAACUCAACAAUUCCAACAUCACAUAAGAUAACACUGAAAAUUCCUGCAUUAAUAACUUAGUUCACACUACCAAAAGAAAGGCUUUAGCCGACGAAAAUAAAAAAACCAGACCGACGAAUUAUUUUUUCGACGGCUAAGAUAGACUUUAGCCGACGAAAUUUUCCUUCGUCUGCUUAUUUAAAUUUUCGUCGGCUACAGUGUAUCUUUAGCCAAAGAAAUUAAAAUUUCGUCGUCUGAAUAAUUUUUUUUGUCGGCUAUAGUCUGUGAACUUUAGUCGACGAAAUUUUUAAAAGUUUAGCCGACGAAAAAUAUAAUUUCUUCGGCUAAAGUGCCUUAUAUUUGCAGAUCUAGACAACAACUCAUCUGGGAAAAAAAACUAUACGUAGAACCUUCAAACGCAAAAAAGUCGUAAAAUAAGAUAUGACCAGAAUGGUGAAAUACGUCUACGGUUGAAAAAUCACGGUAUUCCGGUAAAGUCUCGGUGCCGAUAGUUGCGGUCAAUGCAAUUUACCUUUAUUAUUCACUAUGCUGCAGAUUUGGCGUUUGGUGUCCGAUUGACUAUUGUGAUACAUUUUUGGAAGCGUAACGGCCCUACGAGUCAAACUUACCACUUUGCCAUGACAUAUGGGCCUUUUUGGCCAUCCGAGUCCGUUUAGGGCUUCAAAAUGCAGUUUUCUUAUUUCCGAUUAGAGUUAACCGUUUUGAUCGAGCCCUUAAUGUUGUCGAAUCCAGUUGAAUUUUUUACCACAGACAUCUUUCGUCAUAAUGAUCAAAUCUGACGGUCGAAUUUUGGUUUGUAAAUUUUAGUCAUCGGAAUCACAACGUGUCUACUAUUUACCGUUAUUAUUCCCUUUGGGGAGCCCUAUCGUUAGAAGGUAAAUGUCUCAAAAUUUUUAUAUGGGCAGUUGCGUCUCAUCUACGUGAGAGUUUUUUGUGUAGAAGGUUUGACCAAACUACGUAAUAUCGAGGGAGAUAUUAGCGUUUUCGUGUGAUAAGUGACGAUCGAUUAGGGUUGACCGUUUCGAUCGAGCCCUUAACGUUGUCGGAUCCAGUUGAAUUUUUUACCAUAAACAUCUUUCGUCAUAAUGAUCAUAUCUGACAGUCGAAUUUUGGUUUGUGAAUUUUAGUCAUCGGAAUCAUAACGUGUCUACUCAUGUUGUUUAACUUGUUUAGUAGGUUAUACAACUUUGUGAACCAACUCUACAUAGGAAGUAAAAUUAUCAAAAAUCUCGUGAAAUAAGAUGUGUUCAGAAUGGUGAAAUAAGGCUAUGGUUCAAAAAUCACAUAAAUUGGGUAAAAUCUCGGUGCCGAUAGUAGCGGUCAACCCUAUUUACCGUUAUUAUUCCCUAUGGGGAGCCCUAUCGUCAGAAGGUAAAUGUCUCAAAAUUUUUAUAUAAGCGGUUGCGUCUCAUCUACGUAAAAGUUUUUCGUGUGGAAGGUUUGACCCAACUACGUAAUAUAGAGGGAGAUAUGAGCGUUUUCGUGAAUUUAUAGACUUUAGCCGACGAGAUAUUAAAAAAGUCGUCGGCUAAGGUCAAAAAUUUUUGGGCGGUAAACCAAAUUUGGAGGAAAAUUUUCAAAGGACUUUAGCCGACGAAAAUAUAUGAUUUCGUCGGCUAAAGUCGAAAAAUUUUCAACCAAAAUUUUUUGGCGGUCAACCAAUAUUUUCAAAAGAGUUUAGCCGACGAAAAUAAAGAAUUUCGUCGGCUAAAGUUCUUUAUAUAUGAGUUUUACCGAAGGUGAAUGGUAAGAAGUCUGUUUCGCCUGCCAGAUUUUCUUCUCGACCUAGCUCCGCCGUCAAGCCACCGGAGACCGCCACACUUGUCCCAAAAGCUUCGCCAUCGUCUCUACUUCAUUGCUGGACAGGUGGUGCAUCGAGUGGCGCCACCGUGAGGGAUAUAUAUAGCUCCAAAACUCCGCCGGUUCGGAUUCGGUGUCGAUCGAAUUUCUCCUUCCUCAGGUCACCAUUUGGUGAGUUCUAUAUAUGGAUAAGUUGAGUUUGAUUAGUACUACAGUCCCCUAAAAUUUGGUAGCUCGAUUCGGUGUGUGUGAGGAGAAUCGAAGAUUUGAAGUUUUUAGGGUUUAAAAUUGGGGAUUUUUAUAUUUGGAUUCAAUUGACCUGUUUAGGCUUAGAAUUGGGCUUCGACUUCUUCUAGAAAGUUGUUCGAAAUAUUGAGAGGAAGAUUCUGUCAAAUUUUGGUGGUGAUUGAAGGUGACCAAAAGUUUCUGCAGUUUUUUUUCAAAAACCAGCAACUUUAGCCGAUGAUAUUUAAAUACUAUAUUCGUCGGCUAUAGUAUUUUUAAUUUUUUUAUAAGGUUUAGCCGACGAAAUAUGGCAUGUUUCAUCGGCUAUAGUUUAUUUUUUAUUUUUUUAUAAGGUUUAGCCGACGAAAUAUAGUCUGUUUCGUCGGCUAUAGUUAUUUUUUUAAUUUUUUUAUAAGGUUUAGCCGACAAAAUAGACUAUCUUUCGUCGGCUAUAGUUAUUUUUUCAAUUUUUUUUAUAAGGUUUAGCCGACGAAUAUCUUAACUAUUUCGUUGGCUAAAGUCUGGGAAAAAAACCGACGACAUGUUUUUCGUCGGCUAAACUGUGGGACUAUAGCCGACGAAAUUUUUUUUUUUUCCUCGGCUAAAGUCAUCGCCGACGACCUUUUCUUGACGAAAUCUUAGCCGACGAUGGCUCGUCGGCUAAGAUCUUAGCUGACGAAUUAAGCUAACAGGCCGACAAAACUUUUUCGUCGCCUAAAGUGUUGUCCUGGUAGUGUCAGGAAUCACUUAAAAGCAAUAAAACUCAAAAGAAAUAAUUAAGAGAACACAACAAUUCAAAAUCACUCAAAAUCAUAAAUGAAACAAAAUAAUUAAAAGGAAAAACAACAAUUCACAAUCAAACAAAUCAUAAUGAAAUACAACAAAAAAAAAACAUAGUUCAGGAAUUACUUAAAACAAGGAAUUUAAAAUGACAACAUUAAGAACAUCACACAAUCAUUUCUCAACAUUUACUUAUGAAUUCGUCAACGCAUAGUCAUCCCUCAUAAGUAACUAGACAAACACGUACUCAUGGGUUCGUCAAUACAUAGUCAUCCCCCAUGAAGUACCGACAGACUAGAGCUCUAUACUGACCGUAACCAAUCACCCGGCCAAGGCUUGGUUCCCAAUCCACCACGAAGGCUCCUAAUCUAAUAAUCACCACCAAUGCACACAGAACCACAACUAAUGCACACAAUCACCAUUAAGGCACACACAUACACAACUAAUGCACACAAUUACCACUAAGGCACACAUUCAAAUACUCUCCUAUCAUAACACUUAUCAAACCACAAAAUAAUAAUAAAAUCAUAACCGGAACCAAUCACCUGAUUUAAGGCUUGGAACCCGGUUUGACUAUUUAAACAACAAUUCACGAUAUAAAAAUAUCAUCAACAACAACACAAGAGCACUUCAUAAAUUAUAUCUUUCCACCUAGAUAUAAUUAUAUAAACAAAGACAUAGAUAUUCCCACUAGAAUAAUAUAUUCAACAGCUAUAUUUCAAUAUCACAAUAUCACAUGAUCAGAAGUCCUUUUGAAAGAUUUAUUUUUAUCAGAAAACAUAUUUUCACUUACCCAUGAGCCGUUGACGAUCAAGCUCAUUUAUAUUUAAAAACAAAAAUCAUUAUUCUUUUAAGAACAACUUCACAACUAACAAUAAUAAAAUUAUAAAAUAAACUCGGUUCCUUAUGAACUCAUGUGAGAUUUACUCACAAUAUAAAAAAUAGCAUCAUAAUCAUCAUCAAAACCAUUACCAUUGUCACCAUAAUAAUUAUCAACAUAAUAAUCAUAUCAUCAACAUUUCCAUCAACAUUAUCAUAAUCAUCAUCAUCACAAUUAUCAUCAUCAUCAUCAUCAUCAAAAUCAACAUCACAAUCAUCAUCAUAAUCAUCUUCAAAAUCAACAUCACAAUCAUCAUCAUAAUAAUUAUAAAUAAUUGGUCCGAAAGUGGACCUUGGUGAGAUGUUACUCACCUCAAAUCCAGCUGCGUCUUUGCACGCACAACACAAGAAUAUAACACCAAACCACACUCCACAAGUCACCUAUUAAUAAAAAUUAAUAACUUUAAUAACCACUUAACCAAAAUAACACUGCACCCUUAACAAGUCUUAACCCAAGCUUUGCCCAAAAAGGGACAACCUUCUUCCGAGACCUCCCAAGGUCAUAGGAACCCUCAACCAACCUAUUGAAAACGCUAACAAGAAUUUCAAAGCUCAAACACCAAAGCUCAACAAUCUCCCACGAUUCUCAACUUAGCCUUAAACCUAAGAUACAAAACUUGAUCAUAACUUAACCUCAUGACAUAUCAACGUGCUUGUAUCGACGAGCACGAGCUAACAGUUACUCUUAACCUCCCAACCCCUGUCGAACGCACCGCCACUCGCCACCAUAGACGGCGACGAGUGGGCCCCACGCGCCACCCCAACAACUUCAAAAUCUCAACAAACUUCCAACAUCAAACUUGAAGAUUACUACAAAGGGGACACUUUUCAUACCUGAAGGUUCAACCAGUUCAGCCGGAAUUGGCCGGAAAUCACCGGAAACUCGCCGGAAAAAUUAGAAUUCACCACCAUCACUCCACACCGAGAGUCGAGCUUCAAGACCACCGGAAAACGAACUAGGACGUUAAGGAGCACCUAUCCUGACCGUUUCCAAGCUGCGUCGCCGCCGCCGGAGGUGGGAAUCCCGACCGGUCUCCAAGCCGAACUUCCAAGCUUCGGGUCACCACUUCAGGACUGAAUCAGCGCAAGUCACCACCACAGGGCAGCUCGGACGGAGGAGAGGAAGAGAACCCGACCGGUGCCGGCGUCUAGGUCGGUCGGAGGUGGCCGAAAAAGCAGGGUCGGGUCAGGCGGAAAUCCCAGAGAGUGAAGGUGUCACGAGAGAGAGAAGAAAAGAGAGAGGGAAAUGGGUUCCGGAAAAAUGAAGUGGAACCCUAGAACUUCUCUUAUUUAACCCAAACAUCCCUUAAAGUCACGAACUUCUGCCGACCAUAACUUUCUCAUACGAAGUCCAAUUUAAGCAUGCCACGUGUCUACGAACUCGUAUCGUCGUACUCUACAACUUCCGUGAAGGAAGUUUCUCGAGAAACCAAACAGAUUAAAAAGUCAACUCUUAACCCUUCAAAAUAAAGUAUUUUCAAGGAAAUAAACACUCGACUACUUCCAGUCCACUCACUAAGCCACAAAACCGUACAACUCUUACUUAAAUAAUUUCUAAAAUAAUAUUAUAAACUAAUAUUAAAUUUCCGGGGUAUUACAUACAACAUGUACAGUAUGUUCAAUGUUGCAACAAAAACAUAUGUUCAAUAUUACUUAAUUUGCUUGAAGAUAUAAAUCGUUAAUACAAAAUUGGAGUACGAUUGUUAUACUGAGAGACUUAGGCUGCUAUUAGACUGUGUUAUACAUGAACAUAAGUAGGUGACCGACCUACACAUUCAGGUCGAGUAGUCCCUGCUCAAUUGGAAGGGAGGGAAUGGAAACAUAAAGGUUUCGAUGGUGAAAGACUCCAAAAAACAAGCAACAAAUGACAAGGCUGCCCCAGUUAUCGUGAAUCUCACAUCAGAAGAUACAUAUAUUGUUCCCAUCGCAAAAGGAAAGGGAAUCAACACUCAGUAUAUAGGCAAGCUGAGAAUGCAAUCAUACCAAAGAUAAUGGCCGUCAAAUUGGAUUUAACUUUUUGCUCUAUAACCCCUCUACAAAUGGAUGAUUUGUUCGGCGUUUUUGUACAUUCUAACUUUACAUCAGGCCGGGAAUAUGGGGAUUUGUGUUCAUAUUUGUCUUCCAAAGACAAAGUAAUCUCAUAUUGUUGUAAUUUAUGUGGUUACACACACUCGUAGGACAUGUAAUCUAUUUUGGAACUAACUGACUUCAAGUGUCAUUUUGGUGUUGCAGUGAAAAACAUACAUGCAAUAAUUUUUUUUCAUCACAACACGCAUUAUAUAAAAGCAAUGACUGUUUCUGUUGGUCACUACUAAGUUUUAUAUCCAUAUGAAUUGUAUCUAUUCUUGGGGUUGGACAUAUAAGUGUUAUAAAUACUUACAAGUGAUGAUGUCUUUUGUUAUACAUCUCACGAAUCCAUGAGUUAUGUUGUAAAUUACACACUGCAAAAAAGUACUCCCAAUAAAUUUCUCAUUCCUUCUUGCUUUGACCGACAAAUAUGUGAUGAAAGAAAUUAGCACGUGUACCUGCAUCCUUCAAGUGCGACACCACAUUUUUCCCAACAUGCCAUGCACAUAGCUGGUGUCUAGCCUCGAGCAUUACAUUUUUUAGUGCUUUUCUCAUCGCUUCGUUGUUGUCAGUUAUCACAAAAACUGGUUUCUUCUUCUUCAUCGAAGCUAAAAACGCAGUUAAUACCCAGUUAUAUGUUUCUUCUAUUUCGUGCCUACAAAAACUUCUAAUUUGUAAGUACUGUCAAAUAUCAAGACAUCCCCAUAUGCACAAUAAUCCUUGUAUGACUGACCAUCACACUAAACAUAUUUGUGAGCCUACCUUUCUCAUCUAUUCUAUACAAACAGUAGAAAUUGAGGUCCCGUAUUGCUUUCAUAUUCAUCCAAGUAUUCGAACAUUAUGCAUCACCAUCCAACAUCAGUUUGUUAUUCUCCUGCUGAACUCUAUUGUAGAAAUCCCUUAUAGUAAAUCCAACAAACUCAUGGCUCUCGCUAAUGUUCAAGGAACUUGUAAGCACGGGCUACGCCCACAAAAACCUUCUUAUGUGCAUUUACAUGAGCAAUGUCAUGCUCCUUAACAAACCAAUUUGAUCUCAUAAACUGCCUAUGCAUACGUCAGGUCAAUGGCUGAUUGUGUUCCGUAAUAAAUGACGACCCAUAAUAUUUCCCCUUUUUGCUACCAAAAUUCACAGUGAAUUAUGCACGGCAUUUCUGCCUUUACACUCACCGGGACCUUGAGCAAACUAUCUUCACCCUUUUUUCCCCCUACAACAGCUGUGAUUAUCCUUCACAUCUAAUACAUUUUCCUUAUUCGUGUUCGUAUUUUUCCUUAUUCGUGUUCGUAUUUUCGUAAAACAACCUGACCUGCAAACCUUAGUCAGCAUCGUCCUCACAAAAACCCUGUUUUUCUUACCUUUAUUGCACAUCUCUUCUCGUGAACAGGUCAUUUCUCUUCGAAUAAUUAAUGUUUUCUUAUUGUUCCAGUCCAAUAUGUACUUCCUUAUGCUGAUACCCAUUGCAACUGAAUAUUAUAGGUAGAACAUCUCCGCUUCCUCCACACUCUUGAACACAACAUUAAACAAGUCAUCAAGCGUCAGGUACCAGUAAGGCUUCCCAUUGAACAUUGUGCAUUCAUCAUCUUCUGACCUGUCUACAGUCUAGUCUAUUUCCAUCCCAUCAUCACAACCAUUCCUAAAACUAUCCCAAGUCUUCACCUCAUCUUAACCAUUAGCGCUUUCAGUCUGGGUGGUACUCAAAUGAGUUACCUCCAUAACACAUGUGCACAAACAUGUAAAUAAGGACAAAGGAUACUUUUGGGCGAAUCUGAUCUGGACAUAGCAAUCCCAAAUGAAAAUAGGUAUUCAAUCCAAAAUGAAUAAUGAUAUCAAUUUAUUCACAAACUUAUAAGGAUUCUCCGUCUCCUACAUCUGCUGCUCACUCGGAUUAUUCGCCAAACAACAAUCUUCGCCCUGUCUCUACAACUUCAAUCUUCCUUUGUUUGAAAGCUUAUACAAUCUUACGAACCUUGUUCUGAUGGGAGAUGUGUCCGAUAUAAGAAACCCUCAACCAUUUCUAUUUCACCCUUCUAAAUUUUUAUCAAGAUAAACCCUAACAACAAUUUAACGCCCGCUAACGAAUGAAAUCUACUGACUUGUCCAAACAUCAAAAUGGGCGGUGGAUAUGCUUGGUUCAAAUACACUACGGUGCGUAGAAUAAUUUAUAACUGAAAAAAUUGUGUGAAUAAUUUAUAAUGAUACUUCACACGCAUGAGCAUGGCCCUUUUAUACAUGUAAGAAGGCUAGAUUUUGAUCAAACACCCAAACUCUAGGCUAAGUGAGCACACUUAUUGUCUCUUUCAAUGAAGAUUGAAGGAAAGGGAUCAAAUAUUGAAGUACAACAAUUGGUCGUUCAAGAGACAUGCCAGUCUUCAAAGUUAUAAUUCACACGGGUGAGCGCGGCCUUUCCGCACGCAUAUAUAUGCGGAUGUCUCUACGUAUACGCAUGAGCUCGGCCCUUUCGUUUGUAAUUCCCUUAAAGUGCGGAUGUCUUUGCGUUCUCAGCCAUCAGGGGCAUGCGACGACGUUUCUGUUAUCGGAUGAAUACCAGAGGUAUCCCAAACGACGUUACCAUGAAGAAGACCGCGAAAGAGAUCGGGAUCGACGGUCUGGACAACAACCUCACCCAAAACAUCAAGACAGAUCAAGAUUGGCUGCAAACUUAUAGCUGGUGAGUCCACUGGCAAGAAGAAUCUCAGUAUCAAGGUCUGGUAUCCACUCGGCAAGAAGAAAAAGACGCCUAAUCGUGGAGAAAUCAAUGUCGUUCGCACUUUAAUGGCCGUGUGAACGUCAGCUUCUGAACGGCCCUAUAUAUAUAUACAGGGCUUCUCAGCUGCGGACGUCCACACCAAUGGUUUUGGUGUGGAUUUUCAUUUUUGCACCAUUUUUCGAUCGAAUUUCCUCAUCUCCACCAUCUAGUAUCUAGAUAAUAUUGUGUAGAUCAUCUCUGCAAAAUUUCAGCCAAUUUGGUAAUCGUUAAGGCCCUCAAAAUUGCGUCUUUUUGAUAUAAACAUGAACGGUUCAUGUUUGACAGAAUUUAGUNNNNNNNNNNNNNNNNNNNNNNNNNNNNNNNNNNNNNNNNNNNNNNNNNNNNNNNNNNNNNNNNNNNNNNNNNNNNNNNNNNNNNNNNNNNNNNNNNNNNNNNNNNNNNNNNNNNNNNNNNNNNNNNNNNNNNNNNNNNNNNNNNNNNNNNNNNNNNNNNNNNNAACUACUAUAUAUAUAUAUAUAUAUAUAUAUAAAGUCCCGAUCUAGAGAGGACUCCCUGAAACUCUUAAAGUGAGGAUGUUUUUAGUUCUAGCAUGUAUUUUGACAAUCAAAGCCACAUAUUCCCUAGUUACUUACCCACAUAUGAAUCCUACAAAAAAUUAGCCAAAAUGAAAAACGUUUAACCAUUUAAUUAGCACAAUAUUCAUUUUAAUUUUAUCUAACGGCCUACAAUUAUUUACGUCAAUUUGAAUGACCAAAUGAUCAUGGAAUUAUUGAAAUUUUGUAGACAUGUUUCUUACAUAUGAAUCUAGAGAAUCAACGGUUGAGAUCGUUAAAUAAAGUCAUUUACUAAUGUAAAAUAGUAGAAAUCCUCAAAUUCUUAAAGUAAGGAUGUCCUCUUAUAUAUAUAUAUAUAUAUAUAUAUAUAUAUAUAUAUAUAUAUAUCAGAAGUAGACGUCUGCACCGGCUCAAAGAGGCUCCAGGAGGUGCUGACAGCGUCAACGACCUUGACGUCGCUGAAGCAGACCUCUAUCUUGUUUGCCUCCUUACCGGUGGACUCUCCGACAACGAGUUCGAAGUCGAGAAUGAGGUGCUUGAAGUUUUCUGGUAAACUUCUCGGUCGUACCAUCGAUCUAGCUCACCUCAACUUUCACCUUGAUGAUAACGAUGCCUGAGAUGUCUGAUGUCUUCAAGGACAGAAGCAGAGCUGCCAUUGACGCCGCCUAGAGCCUCCUUGAGCCAGCGUCUGCACUUUUUAUUCAGUGUUGACGUCCUCUUCUGAUAUAUAUAUUCAAUGAGUAUGUGACCUAUGCAAGCUUUAGGAGUUUUGGGUUUUGAGUGGUAUUUCCAGAGCUAGGGUUUGUCAGAGGUUAAGAUUUGAUAUGGGGAUGAAAGGUCAACUGGGAUACAAAAUAUUUUGAUCUUUGUUAAGAUACGAAUUGUAGAAAAAAAAAAAUUGUGAUAUCGAAAUAUGCCUAUGUGAAUCACAAUUGUCUUGUGGAAUGCAUGUAGAUUACUAUUAAACGAGUUGACGUCGUUUUGGAUAGAUAUUAGCGACUCCCAAGUCUCAAUUCCCAAAUUCACAAACGUCGUUUGCCCAUCUCCCCGCCUUCCUAGCCUUGGUUACUAGUUUGCGACUCUCAAAUUCUCAUCAUACCCAAUUUCUAUCGUUUUAGCGGGCUGCCGACCGUCUUAAUCGGUGACUUACUAGAGCUCGAUUGUCUCUUUCAUGACCCUCAAGUUAACAAAAAUUUCUCACACUGUCGACAUUGGUUGAAAUUUUGUGUGUUAGCCCGAGUAAGAAUUUCAUCUUGACUCGUCACUGGCAGGAAGGCUAGUAAUUUAUAACUGAAACAAUUAUGUAAGUAAACUAAACACCCAGAAAACACUCACAAACGAUAGUUAUAUGAUAUCUGCUUCAAGAACUAUGCCACUAUUGCUUUUAGGUGAUCACUAUGUCUUUUUUGGCUUCAGACGACGUGGAUCAAACGACAGAAGACGUAUUUGCUGUCGUCUGAUACAUUCAGACGACACACAUUUAAAUAUAUGUCGUCUGAAUGUAGCAACUCACAGACAGCUUAAAUUAGCGUGUUCAUGAGAUGACAGACGUCUGUCGUCUUAAAACAACCCCAAAUUUGCAAUAUAAUGGUUCGAUCUAAGACGACACUCUUCUAUCGUCUCUAUAUUGACGUAAAUAUCUAAUAUUUUUUUGGUACAACGAAUGUCUUGUUUUGGACACUUUAUAGACCCUAUCUUCCCGAUAAUUUGUUUGAAGUUCUCAAUUGAGUGAUUUUUCUCACAACUGAAACCUCUCUUCCUCUCUUCCUCACAAACCAAAUUCUCUCAUAUAUCUCCUCAUUCUCAAACUGAUCGAAUCCUCUCUUCUAUAUCUAACCCUCAAACCAAUUCCUCUCAUCUUCGGAGACCCAGAUCUGAAAACCCCCAAUUUCAACCUCCCAAACCCUAAGAGCUCCAAACCCUCGCAAACCAUGUCCACUGCCUAAACCACCACCCAGAAGAAGCACGCAGCCGAGCCCGAGUUCAUCAAGUCGGCCAACCUCGAUCUCAACCUCUCCAUGUUCUUUUCCUCUAAUUCCUUCAUAUCUCUUGCUUUCGCUUACGGAAUCGGCUCUUGAUGUGUUCGAUUUGAAUUUUUUUGCAGUGAUAUCAAAGGAAUCAUGUCGGCACUACAACAGAUCCGAUAUAAGGCGCACAUGGACGACUUGAAGAUGAACGAAGAGGCCAUUUCCAAGUGAAAAUUCAAAACGUUUAGCUCUUGAUUUCACUAAAUCAGCUCAGAAAUUCAAAACUCUAUCUAUUUUUUGAUUAUUUUUGCUAAUAUAGUAUCAAAUUAGAAUUUGUGUUCAUUUUCCCCAGUUUUGAAGUUCCGUACUCAAAUUACAGAUUUUUUUCUUUUUUUUCUUUCCCUGUGUUUAGAUUUUGAUUGAGUUGAUGAUGUUGAGUAACAUGAGUUCGUAAUUAUAGCUAGACAAUGAUCAUAUAAUGGGAUUGCUCAAUCUGAUAAAAAUAAUUUCUAAAGGCAUAAGUGCAUAACCUUCACCAUGAAAAUUUGAUGAUGUAGUUUCUAUUGUGGUCAAAUAGUGUUUGGAGACCAUCCAACUCUAACAUACUAUAUCUCUCUAUCUAUCUCUCUAAAAUAUCUCUCUCUAGCUUCUAUAUAUAAAUAUUGGAGGAACAACAAAUGAAGUUCUGAGGCAAAGGAAGAGAAUUGCUUAGCGUCUAUAACCAAUGAAUGUCAACAAAGAUUAUGUCUCUCUUCCAUCACUUUCUGCCAAUCCUCCUUUAGCCAUUUCAUUUUCUUUGUUUCUCUACCUUUAUUUAGCAGUCUCUUAGUUUCUUGUCUUAAUUCAGAUUCCAUCUCUGGUUUCAUGGUUGUCUCCAAUCAAGGUAAAACCUAACACAGUCACUUUUCAAUUUUUUCUCUCUAUUUUCGCCUGUGGAUGUACAAAACUCUUUCCUGCUUUCUCAGUUUGUUGUUUGAAUAUUAAAAUGAGAGUAUUGUAACGUAAUGCAAAAUUGCAAAUUGAUUUGUUUAUUGAAGAAUUUUUGCUUUGUAUGUUUUCUUGUACUCUCUGUUAUUAGUUUCUACAUAUAUAUAUAGACACAUAUUGAGGUAUAUAUAAUGACUUGUGAGGAACCAUGUUAAGAUUCUUGUAGAAAAAGUAGGAGAUAAUGUGUCCCUCUUUUAAUUGUAUAUAGGAUCUCAUUUCGUGCUUAUAAUGUGUGUGCAUGCUGGUGCCUUUUUGCUCAGCUGCAUUUUUAUGUGCAUUGUUGGUGUACUCGUAUAUCUUUACUUACUAUGUUAUUAAUAGUCUUGAGAAACUCCCCUAAAUUUCUGGAGAUGAUGAUAGUCUAUUUUGUUUUUGGUUUACAGGGUGCUAAUAAAUCAGCUGUUUUGAAAGCUUAAUCAGACUCCUUUUUAGAUAAGUACAAUUUACCAAUGUAUUUCAAUGUCCAAAUUAUAGCGGUUUUUAAUUUUAUUUUAUGGUUUCUUCCUCCAGCCAACUAGUGAGAAUGAUGCUACUCGAGCUCCAAUCAGCAUUGAUCUACAGAGGAGCAGCUCAUUGAGCAGCAAAUCAAUGAUAUUGCAGAUUGACAAUUAAUCCCAUCAAGUUUCUGCAAGUAAGUCACUUAAUGUAUGUUCUCAAUUUAAUUUAAUCAUGUUAUAGUGCUGUUUUUGUUUAGAAUCUUCUUAGAAUUUCAAGUCAAUACUAUUGUGUUUUCACAUAUAGGGUUGUUUUGAUUUAGCUAUCAUUUAAACUCACUUCACAUCGUUCUUAAUGGAGUUUGUUUAUAGGUUAUUUCCAUGUCGAGCUGAAUCUUAAUUUAUUGUUUUGUAAAUACCAUCUUACAUUGCAAGUAUGUAAGAAUUAUAGCUGAAUUCCACUUUUCAUGAUUUAUAGUUUAUAUAAGGAUUUCAGGUCCUAGUGAUAAGACUUGCAAUGCUUGAGAGGAGAACGCAGAUACUUUACAGAUACGUUGCAGGUGAUUACUUAGUGUUUUUUUAAAAGUAAACUAUUAAGCAUGAUUCUACCACACUCAUCUGCCAAUGGAUCUCAAACAUCAAUCAACUCAACAUUGCCUUAGUUUAUAGAUUCAUUCAGAUUGACCAAUUGGUGUAUGUUAGCUUCUAUGAUAAUUCAUUCAAUUGCAUGCUAGUUUAUAUUUGGUUUUUGUGUCCUUAAAACUUACUAAUAUUCUUUGUCUUCAAUUUGGCAGGAGAGACUUGAAUGAUAGGUGCACACUGAAGUUUGGAUAUGAAGGAAGUAUCAGAGUGCAUUAGUGCUGUUAGGACUUGGGGGGACUUCCUACACACCACAAUUGUAGUUGCUAGUAUUUGGUUUGUUGUCUUUUUUAUUUUCUUGUAGGCUGGUCUCUUUAGAACAAAUAACUUUGUAAACUUUGUUGGUUUUUGGCAAUGAGAAUGAAUUUGAGAUAUCUGAAUCAUGUUGUGCAAAUGCUUUAUUAAAUUGUCAUCCAAAUUAAAAUCAGACAACAUAUAUUCCCAUGGACAUCGACGUCUCUACAUAUUUCAAACGACAUUUAUAUGUCGUCUUAAAGUAAAAGAUGACCAUAUUGUAUGUUGUCUAAGGUAAAUAUCAGACGACAGAUAAGUGACGUUUGAAUACAUUUGAGUCGAGAGAAGAGGUUUGAUGUAUGUCGUCUGAGAUAUAUUUAGACGACAAAAUAGUAACGUGUGAAUAAGUUUGAGACGAGAGACGGCUGCUCACAUCUUUAGUAUUACUUUAGUUUCGACGAUACUUUUUUGUCGUUAAGAAGCUUUCUCACGACAGAAACUUUAAUUUUGUUACGAAUGUAGGUGCAUACAGACGACAGUUGCUUAUAUACAAUCUGUCGUCGAAGUUGUAUCAGACGUCUGACGAGGUUUGUCGACUGAAUGCUUAUCAGAUGACUGCUUAAUAGAUGACAGCCGAAAAAACAUUCAGACGACCGACCUGACAGGUCGUUUGAAGCCAAAAUUGACGUAGUGGAUCAAGAUUUAUGUUCUUUUCACCACUACAAAUGUGAGCAACACCCACAUAUGUGUUGCCACAAAAGGAAGGAAAUGUGGGUAUGAGGUUAUACCCCUGUUUUUGAACACACAAGUAACAUGCAUCUCCACAUAAAAGCAAUAAAAUGUGGCUAUGUUAUAAAAAAAACUCUUAUUUAACCUUGCCAAAACUGUAAUUGGGCCCAACUUCAUAUAAUAUUUGUGUAUUUCCCUUUCUCUUUGGGUAUAUGUGGGUUUUGCUAUAUACCGGACUACCGGAGUUUAGUUUUUAGUCUUUGAAAAGACUAUUUGUCAUUAGUGUUGGACAGAAGACCUUAUCUCCCUCUGAAAAAAGAAGACUGCUCUCUUUUGGCCUACCCAGAACGACAGAAGACCUCAUCUCCUUCUGAAAAAAGAAGACGUUCGUAUUUGUGUGUUUGAAAGAAAAAAGGGCAUAAUUGAGGGUUGAAGGUAAUAGCUUAUAUAGGGUAAAUCAGAUUCUUGUACCUUUUGUCGAUCUCAGCAGUUCCAAACUAACCGAGCUGUCGAAUUGUUUGUCUUACAGCUUUGGGGUUAAUUGGCAGAAGAGGGAGACAAUGAAGAGAACGUCUUGGCAUACCCAUAACGCCGACCAAACAAAUUCAGAAUCAAGGACGAACGUCGAUAAUCUUCCUUCAUCGGAGAAGCUAUCAACACCGAUGCCGACGCCGAUAGCCCAGAUCAAUAACUAAACCAGUCUCUUCGGCAGAGCUGUGAGCCAAUUAAAUCGGGAGUGAAAAGACUGUCUUCUCUGCUUGUAAGUCUUUCUUCUUCCUAUAAACCCCAAUUCAACAGGUUCUUAGUUUUUUAUAGAAUAAAUGGUUAUUAGCUUCCGGUUCUGUAUUCUCUGCUCCAUUUGAACAUUACUCAAUGGAUAAGACAUGGGUUAAGUUUGUUAUCUACUCGAUGUGGCUAUGCUUGUUUCCCUUUUUUAUUUUGUUCAUUGAUAUAUGAGAUGUCUUAAUUAGAUACGAUAAUCAUAUCAAGUAUGAAGCCACCAUGGUUGAAGAACUAUUGACAUUAAUUAUUUUUGAACGAUAUAUACACAACUAAUGUGAACUUCAUAGGUGUCAUCACUUGAGAUUGCGAAUGAGUUUACUGAUGGUUCGGACUCUAAAGAGGAUGACAAUUGUGGUGAUUUGCGUGGAGCGAAUAGGCCAAACUGGGCAAAAGGAGGAAUUAUUGAAUAUUUGAAGUUCAAUAAUGACGGGCAAGCUGUGGAACCCGAAGAGACUGUUAGCCGAUGGCAGAUAUACCUUGGCAUGAAGGCCACAUAUCAUAGGUAUUUUGCGAUCAAUGUGUUUGAUUGGCGCGACUUUCAAAAAGAAAAAAAGUUAGAUGAGGCUUGGAAAGAUAUCAGGGUAAUCAAAAUUAAGUUUGAAUUUUAAUUUUAACUUCACCAAGUUUGAAGAUGUAAAGUUUUGAUAUUUGCAGCUUAAGUUUAAUACAUUUUGUUUGUGUAAUAUUAGAAAACUCUUGAUUGGUCAGAACUUGAAACACAAAAAAAGAGUGCAAGGAUAAGGCAUGUGGUCAAGCAGAAGUUGAAUGAUCGUUGGAGGGCAUUCAAGAAGGAACUCAAAAAAGAUUGGUAUACCCCAAAUGUUGGAACACGAGCGAUUCAAAUGCAAAGAUGGGAGAGUAAGCACAAAGCAAUGGGUUGCACUAGUUAACCAUUGCGAAGGUAACAAGCAAAAGAUAUGUUUAAGGCAGUCAUAAUAUUUUGAAAGGUUUGUGACAUUUGUCUAUAAAUGUCUGCUACCUUUACUACAACGUAAUUAAAGCAAGCUCCUUAAUAUAUUUAGAUAUAUAAUAGGUAUUGUAGAUAUAUGAUGUGGUUUACAAAUGAACUUACACUGGACAUUUCAAUAUGUAUAUACUCUUGAAUCAAAAUGCAGCGGCGUUCUUUACUGAACAAGCAGAGUCGGGAAAAACGUAGGAUGAUACACACAACUGGCACAACUUCAUUUGCUCAAAUCAGGAAUGCAUAUGUAAGUAAUUUUGGUUUUUGAAUAACCACACAUGUUAAAUUUUGCUGCAAAGUGUUAGAAAGUUUUUGUUUUCUCACCAUGUCAAAUGAGUUAAGCUUCCAGCAACAAGGGAAAACAUAUAAAAUAAUAUUUACUCCUACUGAUUCUAUGUUAUAUGUUAAUAAUAAUAAGGUUGCUUUUAGCUAAGCAUUGAUGCAAGAUAGUAUCCAAUACUUUGUAUCACAAUAUCGAAUUGAUUGUUUCUGUUGUUAUUUGAUUAUUUAUAUUAUUUGAUUGUUCAUAUAAAUGCAGAGAAUUGAUCUUGGAGAUGGAAAACAUAUAAAUUAAUAUCAGUACUAUACCUAUGUUAGCACAGGAACAAUUAGGUUGUAUCUUAGUUAUAACCUGAUACAUGAUGGCAUGUGUUGCAGACUGCCCUCCUUAACAUCUUUAUACAAAAUUGCAAAUGCGGUAAUACUAAUCCCAAUUGUAUUUUGGUGUUGUCCACUUGUUAUGGUUGAUAUAUAUGCAGAAAUAAGUAAAUGGAGGUGUAAGCCCAGAUCGUUGCACAAUGUUUGAGCUUACCCAUGUCAACAACUCUGGAAAACCUCAAGAUCCAAAAUCUAAACAAGCUAUUGUACGUAAGCAUAGUUAUGAACUCUUAAAAGAUAAUGUUAAAAUUCUUAAAAGUACUCAAUAUUUGAUAUUGGUGGUAAUGUGUGAUGAUUGUGAUUAGUUAUACUGAUUGUUUGAUGUAGGCAUCAAUGAAGAGCAAGAUUGAAAAGAUGAAGUCUACCAAGAGGGCAUCUCAACUUCCGGAUGAUCUUGAUAAUUUUGAAAUCAAUGAUGUAUAUGCAACUGUGCUUGGAAAAGAGAAGCGCGGAGCGAUACGAGGAUUUGGCAUUGGAGUUAGACCAGACCAAGUUCCUGGUGUACUUGUGUAGGAAAGAGGUGUUCAUUUAGAGGUACAAGAAAUGAGGGAACAACAUGAAGCUGAGAUUGAAACAAUUCGGAAGGAGAGCCAAGAAAAGGAAGAUAAGCUCAGGGAGGAAAUGAGUAGACAAAAACUUGCUACAAUUGAAAAUUUUAAGGAUAUGGAGGUUGUAAUGAAAAAACAGGGAGCAAUUUUGGCUUUAUUACUUGCUGAAUAUGAUCAGCCAAGUGACUUGCUUGCAACUAUACGAAUGAAGACUGGUUCUCUUCAACCAUUGGUGAGCCAUAUUCAACCUUCAAUGACUUGGAUAAUGUUUACAUAUCUCAAUGUUGUGAAAAGUUGCACCAUCAAGUUGCCACAGAUUGAGGCCCUUCAGACUUCACCUUUUGAUUAGUAUAAGUAAGUGCUUGAGACCUCUGUAUUUUUGUUGUUUUGAACUUAAUCUAUGAUCUCUCUACUAUACUGGUGUAGCUAUCUGAUCAUGAGAUAAGUGCAGAGGCUUUUAGCAUUAGCUUCAAACAUAUUUAGGUUUUGUUGAUAUAUGUGAAGUCUGACUUAGCAUUGUAUAUUGUAGUGUUCAACUACAAUUUGUACUCAAUCACAGUUUUUGUAUAUCAGUUGGCAAUUAUGUUUGGUUUUAUGUAAUACAAAUGUAUAUUGUAAUGUACUGGUCUAAAUACAGAAAAUAAGAUACAACUAAAUACAAAAUCAGUUUGGACUGGUCCCACAUCAAAUCCUUUGCCUCAAUCCAUUUAUAUGUGGCUUUUCUUUGAUUGCCACGUUGCUAGAGGGCACACACCCAAAAUAUGUGUGGGUGCAAUGUAGCAAAUCAGCUUGCCCACACACAUAUGUGGCUUUUAAGGCCAAUUUGCCCACAUUACAUGUAUGUGGGUGUUGGGCUAUAUUGUUGUGGUGUUUCUAUCCCCUCCACUUCUUAUGCUACAUCCUUUAGUGAUUCUUCAACAGCAAUACCGAGUAUGUAUCCGAAGCCCCUCUGGGAUUUGUGGAACAUAACUUCAAAUUCCAACUGAUCUCAACACUGACAUAUAUAUCAUGUAUGGCAAUGCAGAUAGCCAAUCAGACUCUAAAUAACUGAUCUGCCUUACCUUCGGAGUAACUCUGCUUUACCUCGAUUGAUGUUUCUUGUUUGUACUGGGAGAUUCAAUAACUGGGGUUGCCCACAUUGUAAGCACACUCCUAGCAGUACAAUAAUACCACAAUAGGCUCCCAAAGUCAACAGUCCUAGAUUCUGUUGAGCAUGUGAAAGGAAAGAACCAAACACAAAACAGCAAAUAAGAACCAAACCAAAUAGCAUGCAUGUGAAAUGUGAACGAGGUAAGAGUUAAAAGGACUGCAUGUUCAGGACCUACCCUACCCACCAGUUAAACUGAGGAAGCAUCAACUAGAUAUCAUCAUCCUCUCUUCCACUUGCUUCUGUGUGGCUUCAUUCAGCCAUUAAGGUCCCCCUUUAGGGUCCCCCUCUGAGGCUGAGAGAUCAUUUUGGUGGCAGAAUUUCAACUUUUUCAGUGCAGAAGCUUCCCAUCUGGGACAUAAUGCCCCAUACCUUCAAAUAUUUGGCUUAUAUAUCGUGUAUUUGGAGGAUCUUAGGCCCUGUUGUAGGUUUGUUUGCCCCAAUAGACCAAACCAGGAAUGUGGCAUGCACAACUAGUUGAGGUUUUAUAAGGACUAGUACUAAGCACCUUGCCUAUGCCACCCACCCUUCUUCCUCUAGAAAUAAAUAUACAAACAAAAUUUGUAAUAUGGCCCUUUGGCACACAACCCACAUGAGAAGCGGGACAGCUAUUGAGUUCUGGUACCUUGUCCUUCCCCAUUGUGUAUGGAAUGGAUGGUAGGGUGUUGUUUGCCAUUUAAUUGAUAGCUCAUCUCGAGUCCAUUCACAACUGAAAACGGCACUGACGACCGUUGUUCAUUAUUCUCAGAAUCUUCUUGAUGUAAAACUAUCUUCAUUUUACACCGACUAGCAUUACUAAAAAGAUGCUCUCACCGUAGUACCCAUUAUUUUGACCACACACAUGACAAAGGCGCAAAGAUGCUAUUUCUAUUUAGAUCUUCUGAUCUCGUAAUUGCUACUAGGACUUUGAUUCAUUAUUAUGGAACAUGCAGCCACACGACUCACAUCAACGUCCUAAUCCUAUCAAUUUAUAAUUGAGAUUUCUCUACCUUGUCAAAGAGGAGAAGAAUACAUCCCACACAACUACCAAAUUUGACACAUUCUUCCUUUCAUUUCUGACCAGGACUAGUUCUCCUGCAUCUAGACAUACAAACCCCAAAGUCUUCUGCCUUUGUUGACCAGUAUCUGAUGCAAUUGCUGCCUUCCACUCUUCUCUUUUGAAUUAGUCAAACAAGAAUGAAUUCUAAACAUAUAAACAAUAACCAAGGCUCCGGCCAUCUAAUAUGUAAAGCUAUAUAGCGAUGGUGGAGGCCAUUGAUUAUAACAGGCAUGGAUAUUGGCGCACUACAAUCUCUUAUUAAACUUGGGCAAAGCAACAAGUAGACCAGCCAAAUCUAGAGACUAAUAUACAAGAUUAGAAGCAAAAAAAGUGACUCAGGUUCGUAGUUGCUCUUUGUUAAAUCUCCAUUUUGCCGCCAAAAGAGACACUACUAGUAACUCGAUCUGUUCUAACCAAACAAAGAAUCGGAAGAAUUAAUUUAAUUUAUGCAAUGGAUCUCUCGCAAUCAUAUAUCAAUCUUUUAGCUUAGAAUUGAAAUUGAAAAUUAUUAGAAAAACAUAAACCUAAAGAGGAUCUUCUUGUGGCUUGAAAAUAUUAGCUCACUGAGGGAUCCCAGACAAACCAUCCAAAAAUGAGUCCAUUGUGUAGAUGUUUAGUCCUCUUGUCCGUCCAGGUGCUCCUCCUUUGAGAGAUGACACAUCAAGCACAAUCCUGCUUACCCCAGAUGUAUAAGUAAACAAGCCAACUCUAAGACAUAGGUAACAGCUACACAAACAAAGAAAAUGAAACUUACAUGUUGGUCGAUGACUUUUCCAGUUCUGGGUUUCUGGAGUUUAUGAUAAUCUUGUUGUCAAUCUUGGACACGGCAUGGUCGAUAAACAGAUCAACCACUUUAGAUGCUGAAUUAGAAUUAUUAAACCAUACAUUUGUUAGCAUUCAAAAUGAAAUAAAAGCAAAAGAAAACAACAAUUACAAUCGCAGAACAUCAUACGUGAUUUAGGAGCAGCCACACUUCCAUCCAGCCCCAAAAGUUUCUACACGAAGGAACUCUGUAUGUUAGCAUGUACUAUGAUUAACGAAUAAUCUAUAAUAUAAAAAUUCAUCAGAAGCAAUUCAGCAAUGAAAUAAAAGCAUUCACAACCUUAAGACUCUUGUAACAAUCUUCAAGAUUAUCAUUAUACACCAUAUGAUCAAAGAUGCCUGAUGAUUGCCCCUGCUCAAUCUCUGCCUUGGCAUUUCGAAGUCUCUUCAGGACCUGUUCCUCUGUCUCGGUUCCCCUGUAACACCAAAUUCAGCCAUCCUCAACUUCACACCAAAAAAAAUGGAAUUUGAGAAUCAGAAUUAACUAAAUGGCAUCUUCAACUACCUUGCACGAAGGCGCUUCUCAAGCUCCUCCAUCGAGGGAGGACGCACAAAGAUAAAGAGGGCUUCAAGUGAACUAGCCCUCACUGAUCUUGCCCCUUGGACGUCAAUGUCAAGAAUGCAUAUCUACAUCGAAAGCAAAGAACAUUAAGAUAAAGAAUAAUAAUAACAAUAAUAAUAAUAAUAAUAAUACAAAUUCCACAAACAAGGAAAAGAUCACAAGUGCCGCCGACAUGACUUCUGUCAUAAAUCAAUUAAAAUCACAUAUGAAGUCAAGGAUCUACAAAAUUAUGCAUGUUUCGGGCGAAGUAGACCCAAUAUCUUUUUAUCUUAUGGUUUAGGAUUGAGGGUUUUCCUCUCAAACCUGAUAGACCCAAACACUCUAGACUAAUAUGCAUUCAUUAAUAUACAGAUUCUGUAAGUAAUCCCAGGUGACAUUCAUAUGGAAUAAACAAAUGGACCAUGCUCAUAUACUCCAAUAAUCAUUUAAACCAGACGCUUUUGCCAAACAUCAUUUAAGAAUAAGCAUUUACCUUUCCAGCAUCUGCUACUGCUUCUACUGCUUCGACACUAGUUCCAUAGAGAUUUCCAUGCACAUUAGCAAACUCAAGGAACUUCCCAUCUUCUAUCUCUUUCUCCAUUGCACUUCGCUCGAUGAAAUGAUAAUGAACCCCAUCCUUCUCCAUAGCUCUUGGAGCACGAGUCGUGUGGCUCACAGAGAAUCCAAACAAAGAUGGAUAUUCUUUCAUGAGCAUUGAUAUUAGUGUCCCCUUACCUACCCCAGAAGGACCACUAAUAACAACAGGUUUCUCAGCACUACCUCUCACACCCUUACUCCAAGCAACAACCUCAGUGCCUAAAAUUUUCUUCUGCUGCCUAACAUAUUGUGUGUCCACCUAACAGAACAACACACUUUUUAGUAAUAGGAACAAUUAGGUAAUUAUAUGCAGAGUAAGAAUUACUGGAUAGGAAGUGUGACAUCAACAAUUCCACAAAUCCUUUUUUUCAAAUUAUAUAAAAGCAAAUCCAUUUUUGAAUUUAUUCAUCCUACUUUUAUCAGGCCCUAUAUUCCAUUGUCAUCUCAAGUUAAACUAUAGCCAAAAUGAGUUCAAAAUCAUGACAUCUCAUAUAGUUCAAUACUCCCCGAUCAUACUAAUAGUGUUCAAGGUACCAACCUCAAGAAACCAGGCAAAAUCAUCUGAUUUUGAACCACUCCUAAUAAUCAAUAUUCGAUCCCCAUUCAUGAGCACUGCAGAAUGGCCUUUACCUGGUUUGGGUUGCGUCCCCAACACGGUAGGAAUAAUCCUGCAAUUACCAACCAUCUCUUAGCCACAGAAAAUCAGAUGAAAUUAACUCAAGACCUGUUGCUAUACACUUACCAUUCACCACUAGUUUGGUCAAAAAUCCGAACUCCAAUUGAUAAUGCUGAUUCCUCACAGGCUCCACCAAUCACAUACUGUCAAAAAAUGCAAUAUGAUUGACCUGGUGGUAAAUCACUGAAGAACAAACAGGGGGGCAUUGGAUGAGAAAAAUCAUAUUGGUAUGUUAAGUAUCAUACAGUUCUGUUGCCCACGACAACGGAUGUUUCACCGCCUUUGGACUUCAGAUCAAACCCACUUGCAUAUCCCUUCUGAAGCUCAUCACCAAAGAAUGCUGGGGCUUCUCCCUGAUGACAAUACACAAUAUUAAAUCACUACAAAUCAGGAUGUAAACACCAUUUUCCAAUUACAUUCCAAACAGAAGUCUAUUUUCAUAAAAGCACAGCACAAACUAAGUAUGCAGGGCUUACCAUUGAGAAUUCUACUCCUGCAAUUCUAGAUUCCCUGGUCAAAGAACACUGAGAAAUAUGAGAAUAAGUUUCUAGAUCUAGUAACACAUGAAAGAUCUAGGCAUAAAGGGAAGAACUUGCAAUGAAGCAAAUCCGAAUAUGAAUAUAAAGAAGGAACAAAAAGAUACAAACUUGAACAAUGGACACAAACACAAUGAACUUCAAAAAUCAAAACCCAGAUGCCAAGUAACGUUGUCAUUCCAACAUAGAAAUAUCAAAUAUACAUACAGAAAGGGGAAAAAAUGACUCAACAGCUGGAAAACAACAAAAUGCAAGGAAAAACCGAACCCAACUCAAUAUAAACACAACAUAUGGAUCAAAACACUGACCAAGACAAAACCAAAUCAAGGGAAAUACAAAACAGAAUACGACCCAGGUACCUUUGUGUAGGUAGUAAUUGCUAUACAACACAAAUCAAGCUUGAUUCUUGGGGGUGUGUUAAGAGGGCCCUAUAAGAACUUUUAAAACCCCACUUUUUCAAGCUCAAGUUUUGUGUAAGGGAAGGCUUGAGAUCAAAUCAACACAAACUUGGGAUGCACAAAAUCAGAAGGGUGGUAGAAGAAGUUGCAAGAAACGUCGAGGAGCAUUCUCAUAUUUGUAGCAAGCAGAAGCCAAAGAGGGAAUCUUGGAGUCCAAUAGUGUUAAAGAGGAAGAGAGAGAGAGAGAGAGAGAGAGGAGGGAGGGAGGAGAGUAGAGAGAGAGAGAGAGAGAGAGAGAGAGAGAGNNNNNNNNNNNNNNNNNNNNNNNNNNNNNNNNNNNNNNNNNNNNNNNNNNNNNNNNNNNNNNNNNNNNNNNNNNNNNNNNNNNNNNNNNNNNNNNNNNNNNNNNNNNNNNNNNNNNNNNNNNNNNNNNNNNNNNNNNNNNNNNNNNNNNNNNNNNNNNNNNNNNNNNNNNNNNNNNNNNNNNNNNNNNNNNNNNNNNNNNNNNNNNNNNNNNNNNNNNNNNNNNNNNNNNNNNNNNNNNNNNNNNNNNNNNNNNNNNNNNNNNNNNNNNNNNNNNNNNNNNNNNNNNNNNNNNNNNNNNNNNNNNNNNNNNNNNNNNNNNNNNNNNNNNNNNNNNNNNNNNNNNNNNNNNNNNNNNNNNNNNNNNNNNNNNNNNNNNNNNNNNNNNNNNNNNNNNNNNNNNNNNNNNNNNNNNNNNNNNNNNNNNNNNNNNNNNNNNNNNNNNNNNNNNNNNNNNNNNNNNNNNNNNNNNNNNNNNNNNNNNNNNNNNNNNNNNNNNNNNNNNNNNNNNNNNNNNNNNNNNNNNNNNNNNNNNNNNNNNNNNNNNNNNNNNNNNNNNNNNNNNNNNNNNNNNNNNNNNNNNNNNNNNNNNNNNNNNNNNNNNNNNNNNNNNNNNNNNNNNNNNNNNNNNNNNNNNNNNNNNNNNNNNNNNNNNNNNNNNNNNNNNNNNNNNNNNNNNNNNNNNNNNNNNNNNNNNNNNNNNNNNNNNNNNNNNNNNNNNNNNNNNNNNNNNNNNNNNNNNNNNNNNNNNNNNNNNNNNNNNNNNNNNNNNNNNNNNNNNNNNNNNNNNNNNNNNNNNNNNNNNNNNNNNNNNNNNNNNNNNNNNNNNNNNNNNNNNNNNNNNNNNNNNNNNNNNNNNNNNNNNNNNNNNNNNNNNNNNNNNNNNNNNNNNNNNNNNNNNNNNNNNNNNNNNNNNNNNNNNNNNNNNNNNNNNNNNNNNNNNNNNNNNNNNNNNNNNNNNNNNNNNNNNNNNNNNNNNNNNNNNNNNNNNNNNNNNNNNNNNNNNNNNNNNNNNNNNNNNNNNNNNNNNNNNNNNNNNNNNNNNNNNNNNNNNNNNNNNNNNNNNNNNNNNNNNNNNNNNNNNNNNNNNNNNNNNNNNNNNNNNNNNNNNNNNNNNNNNNNNNNNNNNNNNNNNNNNNNNNNNNNNNNNNNNNNNNNNNNNNNNNNNNNNNNNNNNNNNNNNNNNNNNNNNNNNNCACGCACUUAGCUCGUCGCUGCGGUUGGUUCGUGCGUGAAACAUUCCUUCCUGGCGCGUCGGGCGGUGCAGGCGUCAUUGCUGACGCAAGCCACGAGCUUGGGCCUGGGCUGAGGUGGCUGCAACUUGCCUGGGUCACUCUUCUCCUCUCACUGGGUUAGUUUUCUCCCCACCCAAUUAACCUGGGCUAGAAAAUGAGUGAUCUCAUUUUGUGGGUGGAAACAAAUAAUUCUGGACUGGGUUACUUUGCUGAGGUGGAUCCAACCUGGGUUGGAUUUUUUUCCCACCGGUGGACUUGCUCUAAGCGUUGAAAGAAAUCCUUGAAGAAACUAGGUUGGCAAAUGGGUGUUGGUGCAUCCUAUUCUUGCCCAACUCCAAGAUUACCUAGCUAUAGCUAGUUGUUAAAGUUUAGACAAGAAAAAGGAUAGAAUUUGUUGCGAGUUGCCAACUAGGUCUUGCAAAAUUACUAGCUAAGAUGUUAUGAAAUUUCGUUUCUUUUUGUUCCUACACAAGUUCAGAGCAAAAAGUAGAAUACAACAACAAAAUGGAAGGUAAAUGCUACAUUUGAUUUAAUCCAGUUGAAUAUUUCAAGCUCAGAUAUUGGUUUCUUUCUUUUUUACGUAAGGUUGAGCAAAAAGCGAUUACAACAAUAAGGUUUAUUGGGCUUAUAUGCUAUAUUUGGUUUAAUUGAUUUAGAUAUUCCAGGCUAGGCAAGCUAAUUUUUUACUUGGGUGUUUACUAUUUUUUAUUCAUUUUCUUGGUGUGUUAAUUUUUCAUGAGAAUACAAUGUCUUUUUUUUAAGCUAAGGGUGUGUUUACUAAACUUGAAUGGGAUUGAGAAGGAAUUGGAGAUCAAAAGAAUGAGAGAGAGAAUGAAUAGGAGUGAGAAUAAGUCAUUCAUAUUGCAUGUUUACUUGAGAAAGACAAGUUACACAAACUCCCCUUUAAAUCAACUUGCUCCAAAAAGAUCAAAGUUAACAGCAGAUUUACCAGGGACCAAAAACGCAGACUCUCAAGAACAAGGACCGUCCAAACUGUCUUAGGAGGGCAAGAGCAUUUGCAACAAAGUUUGAGAAGCUAAAACUCAUUAAAAUUUGAAUACUCACGUGUGAAUAUGAACCCAUUGUAAUUCAACUUGAACCAUCCAUCAUAUAGUUUCAACCAUUUCAUCUCCACCAUGGUUAUUCCCAAAAAGAUUUUAGGUCAUCUGUGAAACCAUCCCAACAUCGUCUAGCGACAACGUUAUAUUGGAGGGUUAUGGUUGUUUUUUGUGAAGAUCGAUAUCUAUUUAUUUGAGUGGAGUCUUUGUUUUCCUAGAUUAACUAGAUUAACUAAGUACAAAAAUUGAAAGAAAAACAAAUACCAAAAAAAUAGUGCAAACUUUAGUGUACAUCAUUCAACUCCUAACGAUUUUUAUAUUUGCUCGAAAGUAAAUAAGAAUCAAAUAACUUAAAAAACAAUCACUGCCUUAGUUUUUUUCACCCAGGUUGUGAGUCGGUGGUUGUGGGUACAUCAGAUUCACCAUCAAAACCCCUAACGAUCUUUCGAUCUAGUGGAGUUUUUUUUGUUGGUGGCUCUUUGUUUUUUCGCGUUGAUGCGGGUGUGUCUUCUCUGUUGAUGGCUCUUGUGUUAGCUGACCUAGACCGUGGGCAUUCAUAGUUGAAGCUGACCGUGUUUUCUAUUUAUGGUUUUAAUAUGGGUAUUUUCUAGGCUUUAUUUGUUUGUAUAUGUUUUCCUUGGACCGCCUGUUUGGGCUCUUUUUCUUGUAAUGGUGUAUUUCUAAUGAAAGAAAAUUCAGUUGGAAAAAAAAAUAAAUAAAUAAUGGCAUGUUGUCAUAUCAGAAAAAUAACUAACGAAAGAGUAUGUUAGCCAAACACUUCUCUUGGAACGCGCCUCAUGCACCUUAACCCUCGAAUCUGCUUUGGCCUUCCUUCUUUCUCGUCCAUCUGCGCUAGUGUCGGUCUAUGGCCGCGCUGGUGCACGUCGUGUGCGGUCGGACGGAUUGUGUUCCCCUUAGGCUUACCUUUUGCUUGGAGGCUAGAGUCGGAGGGUGCGAUUCUUCAUCUUUCUUGAUCUGAGGAGGCAGUUACCUCUAGAUCUGGGGCUAGAUUAGGAUGGUGGUGUGAGAUCGGAUUGGUGUUGGUUGGUAGAACGAUUAAAGCGGCGUCGUGGAUGCUUGGAGAGGAUGUUGAGAUCGAUCUAAUGGCAUGAUGUUUUCACUCGUCUGGUUUCUGGUUUUUGGAUCAGGUCAAGAGAUAUUUCGAAGGGUUUUGGGUGGAUUGAUACAUGAAGGUGGUGGCGCGAUGCAGGUGGAAGGGAACCGACGUGGGUGGUGUUAAGAGUAUAAGGGUAUUUGAGUCAUUUGACUCUAAUCCCUACCCUAGAAAUUUUAUGAGAUGUACACUAUUCAUUAUCAACACAAUACAAGAUGUAGACGAUUUGCCUCUUCUACGUUUUCUUUACGUUUUUAGCUCUUUAGAUUCAAUAAACCUUGAUUCCUAUCAUGAUAUCAGAGCCCAUGGUCACAAUCUUGUGCCUUGUGGCUUCUGAGUUUCUUUGCUAGCUUCCGCGUUUUAAAUUUCUAUAGCUUUGUUUUCAAUUUCAGUUUCCCCCAAAUUCACAAACCCUAGUAUCAUAUUUUGCUCGUGUCUUCUCAAAUCGAAUCCUCGAAUCAGAGUCUCUAGGCGCGACUACUGUUUAUCCUUUCCGAAUGAGUCCAACCGAAGCCGUGAAGUCCUCAUCUAUCUCGGACAUCGUCAUCGUCGCCCGAUCUUCCUUUGUCGUUCGUGCCAACUUCAAUUCCUCAAUCUGGAAUCUCUUUCUCCAAUAUCACUUUGGUAUAAUCAUCUCUAGCUUCUGCUUAUUCUUGCUAUCUGAACUUUUCGAAGAGCUUUUGAUAUAUAAUUGAUGGUGAUAUGAAUCUGGCUGGAUGGGAGAUGAGUAUUUUGAGAGUGAACAUCCUUGGGCUUUUGAUUUGUUGGUGAUACUGAUAUAAAUUUUUCUUCUGUGGUCUUAAUUUGCUAUGCUUUGGUUCUCAUGUAUCGCUGCUAGCAUCAGAUUCUUUACCAAUAUUGGUAAUACCUCUUUAAUUGGCAUCUCUUUCACUCAAUUCAUGGAUUUUCUCUUUAGUCUUGGAUGUUAUGAUCAAUUCAUUAGUUUUCCACUUUUCUUGUCAAAGUUUGUUUGCAGUCAACCAAAGAAGGUGACUAAGCAAUUUUAUAUUUCUAUUUUUUUGGAGUGGUGAAUUGACUUGAUGGUUAGACACUACCAGAAGAAAGGCUUUAGCCGACGAAAAUAAAAAAAACCAGGCCGACGAAUUAUUUUUUCGUCGGCUAAAGUCCAUGUUAGCCGACAAAAUUUUCCUUCGUCGGCUAAUUUAAAUUUUCGUCGGCUAAAGAAAUAUUUUUGUGUGCAAUACUAUACUUUAGCCGACGAAAAGUUUUCCUUCGUCGGCCAAAGUUUUUACUCGUCUGCUAUUAUCGAAAAAAUUCGUCGGCUAAAAGAAAAACAAUAAAAUGUUGUAUAACUUGCUUAGUAGGUUUUAAACAAAUACACAACUUUGUGAACCAACUCUACAUAGAAGCAAAAUUAACAAAAAUCUUGUGAAAUAAGAUGUGUUCAUAACGGUGAAAUACGGCUAUGGUUCAAAAAUCACGUAAAUCGGGUAACGUCUCUGAUGUAGAACAGUCGAAACCCGGUAUGUUGUAGAUUUGCCGUUUUGUGUCCGAUUGACUAUUGUGAUACUUUUCCGGAAACGUAACGGCCCUACGAGUCAAACUCAUUGCUUUGCUAUGAUAUAUGGGCCUUUUUGGCCAUCCGAGUCCGUUUAGGGCUUGAAAAUGUAGUUUUCUUAUUUCUGAUUAGAGUUGACCGUUUCAAUCGAGCCUUUAACAUUGUCGAAUCCAGUUGAAUUUUUUACCAUAGACAUCUUUCGUCAUAAUGAUUAUAUCUGACAGUCGAAUUUUGGUUUGUGAAUUUUAGUCAUCGGAAUCACAACGUGUCUACUAAUGUUGUAUAACUUAUUUAGUAGGUUAUACAACAUAGGAAGCAAAAUUAUCAAAAAUCUUGUGCAAUAAGAUGUGUUCAGAAUGAUGAAAUACAGCUAUGGUUCAAAAAUCACAUAAAUCGGAUAACGUCUCGGUGCCGAUAGUAGCGGUCAACCCUAUUUACCGUUAUUAUUCCCUAUGGGGAGCCCUAUUGUCGGAAGGUAAAUGUCUCAAAAUGUUUAUAGGGACAGUUGCGUCUCAUCUUCGUGAGAGUUUUUCAUGUGGAAGGUUUGACCAAACUAUGUAAUACAGAGGGAGAUAUGAGCGUUUUCGUGUGAUAAGUGACGAUGGAUUAUGGUUGACCGUUUCGAUCGAGCCCUUAACGUUGUUGGAUCCAGUUGAAUUUUUUACCAUAGACAUCACAACGUGUCUACUAAUGUUGUAUAACUUGUUUAGUAGGUUAUACAACUUUGUGAACCAACUCUACAUAGGAAGCAAAAUUAUCAAAAAUCUCAUGAAAUAAGAUGUGUUCAGAAUGGUGAAAUACGGCUAUGGUUCAAAAAUCACGUAAAUCGGGUAACGUCUCGGUGCCAAUAAUAGCGGUCAACCCUAUUUACCAUUAUUAUUCCCUAUGGGGAGCCCUAUAGUCAGAAG